GAUGAAGAACGUAGCGAAAUGCGAUACGUAAUGUGAAUUGCAAAUUCAGUGAAUCAUCGAGUCUUUGAACGCACAUUGCGCCCCCUGGUAUUCCGGGGGGCAUGCCUGUCCGAGCGUCAUUGCUGCCCUCAAGCACGGCUUGUGUGUUGGGCCCCGUCCUCCGAUCCCGGGGGACGGGCCCGAAAGGCAGCGGCGGCACCGCGUCCGGUCCUCGAGCGUAUGGGGCUUUGUCACCCGCUCUGUAGGCCCGCCGGCGCUUGCCGAUCAACCCAAAUUUUUAUCCAGGUUGACCUCGGAUCAGGUAGGGAUACCCGCUGAACUUAAGCAUAUCAAUAAGCGGAGGA
rnacentral:misc_RNA from 1 species